rnacentral:rRNA from 1 species
UACGUAGGGGGCGAGCGUUGUCCGGAAUUACUGGGCGUAAAGGGCAUGCAGGCGGUCCGACACGUUUUGUGUGACAGCGGGUGGCUUAACUACCCGAGGAUGCGAAAGACGGUUGGACUUGAGGACUCGAGAGGGACACGGAAUUCCGGGUGGAGUGGUGAAAUGCGUAGAGAUCCGGAGGAACACCGAAGGCGAAGGCAGUGUCCUGGCGAGUGACUGACGCUGAGGUGCGAAAGCCAGGGGAGCGAACGGG